AUGGGUCUCUGCUGUUUUACACAGAAGAGGUGGGAGACUGUAAAAAAAGGCCCUAUUGCAAAGUUAGGUAUUUUUCUGAGCACAAAUGGAUGUGCUAACCGUCACACAAAGUGUGUGUGUGUGUGUGUGUGUGGGGGGGGGGGGCCAAUUCACGCAAGGUACAUGAUUGUUAUAGUGAGGACAUCCCAUUAAAAGAAAAGUGGCCAUUUGAACACUUUUAUAGAUGGGACAACAUUUCAAAACAGAGAUGAAGGCAAUAUGAAACUCUGAACAAGAUCAAAGGUUGAUUGUACAACAACAAAGCAAUCUGAACAUAGCAGGCUCCUAUGUUGUGUUUCUAAGAACCUUGACAUAGUCAUAGCUAAUGCUACUGUAUAUAUUAAAUAAGGGGACAAUCAAAAGGUACGAGGUCUAUUUUGCAUUGCACAUACACUGUAAGUUGAGAGAAAUACUCAAGUUUGCAUAAAGGUUAACAAAUAUAUUCCCAGCACAGUCAUUGAUCAACUGUUUGAGCUAAAAGUUGGAUAAAGUUCAAAUGCCAAUACAGACAACAAACCUAAAAUCCUUAAAGGGCAUAGCAUGCUAGCAGAUACCCAUAGACUUCCAGUCAGAGCGCUAACACUAGUUAGCAUUGGCUUGUGAAACUACCUUUAACUUUCUUCAUACUAAACACAAAGGCAUAAAAAUAGUAUCCGCGAGUUCAUCCGACACUGGGGAAGUAGAUAAAAUGCCUCAUUGCCAAAAUAUCCCUUUAAAUGAUAGCAUAACUAUGAUGACAAUAACCUGGUAACAAGUCUUCCCACCUCCAGCUUAACUAUCCACCACUGGGGUAUCUUGUUUAUGUUCUUUUGAUGAGGCCAUAAAAGAAAGAGGCACAAGCGCUUAGAGAGAGAUGGAAAAGCAAAGGACUGACGUGAAGGGUAAAGGAGCACCUCAUGUGCAGCGAGGUGCCACCCGAGACAGACAGAAAAGCACUGUUCCUCUUCCACGACUAUAUACUAAAACAGAGAGACGUUCUCCUAUCAUCUUCACUGUAGCUUGAGCUUCCCAUUUCACCUCAGGAUUGUAAUGUGGCACAGCAUACAAGGGCUAGGCUCUCUAAUCAUUGUCACUUUACAGUACAUUGACAAAUGGGAGCGUGGGGGGCGCAUGCAACCAUUAGGGACAACAUGGGGCUAACAUCCAUGGAAACACCAGUUGUACAUUUGAAAUGCAAUAACUGAUAUAGACACCUGAUCGAAAAACGCAGCAGUAUAUUUAGGAUUUGCAUGGAUCUAUGAAACGAUUAUUCCUGAAUCUAGAGACAGAAGGCUUUAGCAGUAAAAAUAGCAUUUUCCCCCCUAAGGAUUCUGUUUUGUUUUCUUCCUUGAAGGCACACAAACUACCACGCAAGUACAAAUCAACUGUGCAAAAAAGCUUUGUUUUGAGAUUAACUCAAAAAAA
rnacentral:lncRNA from 13 species